AACAAAAAUGAUGAGUUUCUUUUACCGCCCCAGUCUGAGAAUUCAUGACUGAUUGGUAUCCCCUCUGACUGUA
rnacentral:snoRNA from 1 species